rnacentral:rRNA from 1 species
GUCUAUGGUUAUAUCACCCUGAAUCUUGGAAGCUAAACAGGGUCGGGUCUGGUUAGUACUUGGAUAGGCGACCACAUGGAAAUAUCCAUUAUUGUAGGCU